GACGAACGCUGGCGGCGUGCUUAACACAUGCAAGUCGAGCGAGGCUCCUUCCUUCGGGAGGGAUGCCCUAGCGGCGAACGGGUGAGUAACACGUGGGCAACCUGCCUCUAGCACUGGGAUAACUCCGGGAAACCGGGGCUAAUACCGGAUACGACCUCUGAGGGCAUCCUCCGGAGGUGGAAAGCAUUGUGGCUAGAGAUGGGCCCGCGGCCUAUCAGCUUGUUGGUGAGGUAACGGCCACCAAGGCGACGACGGGUAGCCGGCCUGAGAGGGCGACCGGCCACACUGGGACUGAGACACGGCCCAGACUCCUACGGGAGGCAGCAGUGGGGAAUAUUGCACAAUGGGCGAAAGCCUGAUGCAGCGACGCCGCGUGAGGGAUGACUGCCUUC
rnacentral:rRNA from 1 species